UAGCUCUGUGUGUCAUUGCCUGGGCAAGAGCUGUCAUCUUCAAUUCUAUUAUGCAAUGGAAAGCAGUGUCCUGAGAGUAAGACUGUAUAAUAAUAAGGAAGAAGAAAUAUUUUGGACAUACAACAUAUCAACUCACAGCCAAUGGGUGAAAGCAGAUGUGUUAAUACCAGAAGAUCUGAAGACAUUUAAGAUUAUUUUUGAAGGGACUCUUUAGAGCCAGAGAAGUUUUAUUGCCCUUGAUCACCUCUGGGUCUAUGCCUGUGGACAGACCCAAUCCAGAAAGCUUUGCUCUGAAGACGAAUUCCCUUGCACUAGUGGCCAGUGCAUCGCCAAAGAAUCUGUCUGUGACUCUCGGCAGGACUGCUCCGAUGAGAGUGAUGAAGACCCAGCAACUUGCUCAAAGCAUCUCGCCUGUGACUUUGAGUCGGGUUUCUGCGGUUGGGAGCCAUUUCUCACAGAAGAUUCACACUGGAAGCUGAUGAAAGGAUUGAAUAAUGGAGAGCACCACUUUCCUGCAGCUGAUCACACAGCAAACAUAAAUCAUGGAUCGUUUAUUUAUUUGGAGGCACAGCGCCCCCCCGGGGUGGCCAAGCUUGGAAGUCCUGUUCUUACAAAAUUGCUCACUCCCACUACCCCAUGUCAGGUAAUCAACUGUUCUGAAUUUCCACUGGCCAUUCUGUGGUUGUAAAUCGCUGAGCAUGGGUUACUCUGCUAGUAAAUGCCCGCCAUGUUUUACUAGCACUUUAAUAAUGAAUUAAGAGAUUUACAUGCGCUAUUUCAACACAAAAUGCUAUGUCCUUCUAGAAGACCAUUUGUAACACAUAACUGGCACCAUUCUUUUGAGGGCUAUUAAAGCUUUCUGUUAUUUUA